AACGAACGCUGGCGGCAGGCUUAACACAUGCAAGUCGAGCGCCCCGCAAGGGGAGCGGCAGACGGGUGAGUAACGCGUGGGAAUCUACCCAUCUCUACGGAAUAACGCAUGGGAACGUGUGCUAAUACCGUAUACGUCCUUCGGGAGAAAGAUUUAUCGGAGAUGGAUGAGCCCGCGUUGGAUUAGCUAGUUGGUGGGGUAAAGGCCUACCAAGGCGACGAUCCAUAGCUGGUCUGAGAGGAUGAUCAGCCACACUGGGACUGAGACACGGCCCAGACUCCUACGGGAGGCAGCAGUGGGGAAUAUUGGACAAUGGGCGCAAGCCUGAUCCAGCCAUGCCGCGUGAGUGAUGAAGGCCCAAGGGUUGUAAAGCUCUUUCACCGGUGAAGAUAAUGACGGUAACCGGAGAAGAAGCCCCGGCUAACUUCGUGCCAGCCGCCGCAGUAAUAC
rnacentral:rRNA from 1 species